rnacentral:rRNA from 1 species
UAGGGAAUAUUGCAAAAUGGGCGAAAGCCCGAUGCAGCAACGCCGCGUGGGCGAUGAAGGCCUUCGGGCCGUAAAGCCCUUUUUGAGGGGAUGAGGAAGGACAGUACCCUCAGAAUAAGCCUCGGCUAACUACGUGCCACCAGCCGCGGUAAAACGUAGGAGGCGAGCGUUAUCAGAAUUUACUGGGCGCAAACCGCGUGCAGGCGGAUUGGAGAGUUGGAUGUGAAAGCUCCCGGCUUAACUGGGAGAGGUCGUUCAAUACUUCCAGUCUUGAGUGCAGUAGAGGGAAGUGGAAUUCCUGGUGUAUUGGUGAAAUGCGUAGAUAUCCGGAGGAACACCAGUGGCGAAAGCGGCUUCCUGGACUGUAACUGACGCUCAGACGCGAAAGCUAGGGUAGCAAACG